rnacentral:rRNA from 1 species
UGCGCAGGCGGUCUUGCAAGUCAGAUGUGAAAGCCCCGGGCUUAACCUGGGAAUUGCGUUUGAAACUACAAGGCUAGAGUGCAGCAGAGGGGAGUGGAAUUCCAUGUGUAGCAGUGAAAUGCGUAGAGAUGUGGAAGAACACCGAUGGCGAAGGCAGCUCCCUGGGUUGACACUGACGCUCAUGCACGAAAGGCUGGGAGCAAACA